rnacentral:rRNA from 1 species
GAUGAACGCUGGCGGCGUGCCUAAUACAUGCAAGUCGAGCGAACAGAUAAGGAGCUUGCUCCUUUGACGUUAGCGGCGGACGGGUGAGUAACACGUGGGUAGCCUACCUAUCUGACUGGGAUAACUUCGGGACACCGGAGAUAAUACCGGAUAAUAUUUCGAACUGCAUGGUUCGAUAGUGAAAGAUGGUUUUGCUCUCACUUAUCGAUGGACCCGCGCCGUAUUAGCUAGUUGGUAAGGUAACGGCUUACCAAGGCGACGAUACGUAGCCGACCGGGGAGGGUGAUCGGCCACACUGGAACUGAGACACGGUCCAGACUCCUACGGGAGGCAGCAGUAGGGAAUCUUCCGAAAUGGGCGAAGGCCUGACGGGGCAACGCCGCGUGAGUGAUGAAGGUCUUCGAAUCGUAAAACUCGGUGAUUAGGGAAGAACAUACGGGUAAGUAACUGUGCACGUCUUGACGGUACCUAAUCAGAAAGCCACGGCUAACUACGAG